rnacentral:rRNA from 1 species
ACGAACGCUGGCGGCGUGCCUAAUGCAUGCAAGUCGCACGCGCGCUUCGGCGCGAGUGGCGCACGGCUGAGUAUCACGUGGGGAUCGACCCGACCGUGGGGGACAACAUGCCGAAAGGCGUGCUAAUCCCGCAUACGCUCGCGAGAGGAAAGCAGCAAUGCGCGGUCGGCCGAGCCUGCGGCCCAUCAGGUUGUUGGGGGGGUAACGGCUUCCCAAGCCGAUGACGGGUAGCUGGUCUGUGAGGACGACCAGCCAGACUGGGACUGAGAACGGCCCAGGACUCCUACGGGAGGCAGCAGCAAGGAAUUUUCGGCAAUGGGCGCAAGCCUGACCGAGCAACGCCGCGUGCGGGAUGACGGCCUUCGGGUUGUAAACCGCUUUGGGUGGGGACGAUGAUGACGGUACCCGCCGAAUAAGCCCCGGCUAACUCUGUGCCAGCAGCCGCGGUAAGACAGAGGGGGCAAGCGUUGUCCGGACUGACUGGGCGUAAAGCGUCCGCAGGCGGCGCGACAAGUGUGGUGUGAAAGCGCCCGGCUUAACCGGGCGAGGCCACCGCAGACUGCCGUGCUCGAGGGGUGCAGAGGCGGGUGGAAUUGCCGGUGUAGUGGUGAAAUGCGUAGAGAUCGGCAGGAACACCAAGGGGGAAGCCAGCCCGCUGGGCACACCCUGACGCUCAGGGACGACAGCGUGGGGAGCGAACCGGAUUAGAUACCCGGGUAGUCCACGCCGUAAACGAUGGACGCUCGGCGUCUGGCUGCGCACUUGCGUGGCUGGGCGCCUUAGCUAACGCGGUAAGCGUCCCGCCUGGGAACUGCGAGCGCAAGCUUAAAACUCAAAGGAAUUGACGGGGGCCCGCACAAGCAGCGGAGCGUGUGGUUUAAUUCGACGCAACACGCAGCACCUCACCCAGACUUGACAUGGCCCUGCACGCCCGGGAAACCGGGUUCCUUCGAGGGUGGGCCACAGAUGCUGCAUGGCUGUCGUCAGCUCGUGUCGUGAGAUGUUGGGUUAAGUCCCGCAACGAGCGCAACCCCUGCGGUCAGUUACUUGUGUCUGACCGGACUGCCCCUUGGGGAGGAAGGCGGGGAUGACGUCAAGUCCGCAUGGCUCUUACGUCUGGGGCCACACACACGCUACAAUGGACGGGACAAUGCGCCGCCACGGGGCAACCCGGCGCGAAUCGCCAAACCCGUCCCCAGUGCAGAUCGGGGGCUGCAACUCGCCCCCGUGAAGGCGGAGUUGCUAGUAACCGCGUAUCAGCGAUGGCGCGGUGAAUACGUACCCGGGCCUUGUACACACCGCCCGUCACGUCAUGGAAGCUGGGAACGCCUGAAGUCCGUGGGCUAACCGCAAGGAGGCAGCGGCCGAGGGCGGGCCUGGUGACUGGGACG